AGCAGGGUUGUUCUCCCUCUAGUGGUUUCGCUCUCUCUCCGUGAUUUACCCUCAAGACACCACAGUGUAAGUGCACUAAAGUCUUAGCCAACGCCCCGCACACUCACGCUUUCCAGUCCGCAGACUCCACACUCAGGAAGUUCACGAAGAAGUUGGAAGCUGCGUCAGAUAUAAACUACGUUUAAAUCUUUAGUCACGGUGUCUUUUCACAGAAUCGUGUUUGUGAACGUUUGCUGAUACAGACGCUAGGCUUCAUAAGAAAGCGUUACUUCACAGGGAAACAUCUGCAGAAUGGCAGAAACCGAGGGAAGUCCGUUUGUAGGCUGUUUGGAGAAACUGAAGAGCUAUGUGCGAACUCGGAAAGGAACCAUCCUGGCCGCUGAAAUAAUCCUCAGUUUCAUCAUCCUUAUCUGUUACGCCGCAUCUAUGUAUGGCGGGUAUUCAGCGGUCGCCAUCUGCGAGAUGGUCUUUGCCAUCAUCUUCUUCGUUGUCUUCAUGAUGGAGCUGGACAAACAGUUUCUGGUGGUGAACUGGCUCUGGAGCGAUUUCAUCCGCGCUGCAAUCGGUGCAGCGCUUUAUCUCAUAACCUCUCUGAUCUGUGUGAUCGGCGGGGCUGGAGACGGGGCUCGCAUCGCUGGUGGGGUGUUUGGUCUGCUGGCUGGGAUCUUGUUUGCUUAUGAUUCCUACACUAUUUUCAUGGACAUCAAGAGCAACAGACAGCAUACAGCUGCUCCCACAGAUGCUCUGCAGUGAAUGGGUGCCAUCAGAAUGGGAGUCCAAACAGCUGAUAAAAACAUCUCAAUAAACCACAAAUGACACAGUUUGAAACUACUUUCCUCGCUACAACAUUAACAGCAACCAAAACCUGGAGAACAAGUCUAAAAAUGGCAAAAGGAGUGAAUUCCUCAGAGUUAUCGCAAAGUUACCGUGAGAGAUGAAGACCAGAGGAAUGCAGAAGGGACAAAACAUUACACAACAAAAGAGGUUCAUGUACAAAAGGGAUUGAAAAUGAAGGAACAGAAAGCUGUCGGCAUCCAAAGAUUCAUUCCGUCAUCUUAGUCAGGCGGCUUUCAUUACCACAAUUUUUUUGUUGGAAAAGCACUAAAUCACAACAUUUAGUAACAUCAGAUAAAUCUGACGACAUGAAUACAGUGUUCAGAAGGGUUUCAAAGUCUGUCUUCCCAUUCUUUACUAGAGAAAGACACGUUUUGACCAAGUCAUUAUUAGCAAGUUCUGUUGGAAAACUUGAUUUCAUUCAGUCUGGUGCUGUUUUUUUAUGAUAAAACAUUAAGGUUGCUUAAGUUUUUUAUGGUGUAAAAUUUCACCAUACUUCGUAACUGUAACUAAAUUCUAAUAACUAUUGAUUGUUCUUGUGUUUUGUUUAAACUAAGUUUUUUUAAACUAAGGAUUUGAAGUCGGAUAUAUUCAACUCAGGAGCAGUCAAGAAAAAGCCAGUUUUCAGUGAAUCUAAAGGGAUUUUCUCUUUAUUUAAACUGAAAAGGAAUGAAUCUCAGCCAUAAUAUCUUCCAUGGUGGCACACAUUUGUACUAUUAAAAAGUUCAGAUGUCCACGUGUUGGUGCAUGUUCAUUUUCUCUCAUCUUUUCUUACUUAUUGCCAUUAAACCUGUUACCUCAAAGGUUGCUCAUUAUCUUGAUGCCACAAGUAUUUUGUUUUAUUCUAAUAAUAAACUGAUCACAUAUAUUAGACACAUCUUCAUUUACAGCCUCUGUUCUGUUCAGCCCUCGUGAGUAGAGUAAGAAAUACUAAAGCAGCACUCACAGUUAUCAACAUUUGCUUAUUCAAGAUUUCCCAAGGAAAUAUUAUGAAUAAAUAUCUGUUUACUCAGUUGUAUUGCCUUGAAAUAUAUAAUUCAGUAGUAUUUGGCCCUCCAGUUAUUCAAAGUGCUGUUGGUCAUCUUCUCGCGUGCAUAAGCUUGUCCAAGGUUUUAGGAGGACACAAUAAUUUGGCCUGUUUUGUUUAGACACGUGUUUAUUUUAUUUAUUUUAUUUUUUUUCUGCUUGGAAACCAUUUAUAACAUGUAUAAAUUGUUUUAACCAUUUAUAAAUUAUAUAUUCCAAUUAGUUGAAGACAGUUUGCCAGUUUUUCCGCUCAUGUCUGUUUUUUUUUGUUGUUGUUUUUCGCGACCUCACCUCGACCCCAGUGGUUUCCUGAAAGCAUUUAUUUGUGAGAUGGUCAGAAAUGGCAUCACUUGUGUAAAAAUGAUUAACUCAUUAAAACAGACGCUUUUAAAGAAACACUUCCUUGCAUGCUUUUUGUUGUUGUUGUUUUAGAAGUACAGCACAAGAUGUAAUUCUGUAGGAUUUAUGUCUCUAAUUGGUGUUGCUGGUAUUUCGAUAACAUUUAAUAAAAGGCUGUUAUAACGUG